GGUUUGGUAGCUCAGCGGUAGAGCGUGGGAUUGCAGAUCCUAAGGUCACCGGUUCGACCCCGGUUCAAGCCU
rnacentral:tRNA from 2 species